UCAACAGGAAAUUACUUUUUCAUAGUUCGUGACUGUAUUUUUUCUUAGCUCCUACAUUUUCCCGCCGUCGAUCUCCGGUUCUCGUGUGAAGUUUUCGUCUUUUUUUUCUUUCAGUGCAUGAAUGAUGUUCGUUGUUACUAAUUUUCUUCUGUCUGUUUGGAUGCUGAGAAAAUCUUCUUGAACAAGCUAGAGAUAAAGCCUCUUUGUGGAAAGAUUAGGAACCACUGAAGUAGAGAUCUUUGGACUUGUGGGUCUCUCUCUCGAGCUUUCUUGGUCAAGCAAGACUGUAAAAGUUUGCAAGGGACUAUGUUUUGAAGAUGACAAGACCGUGGGUGCUUGUGUUUGUUCUUGUGCUUAUUAUUCUGACUUCGCAGUUUGAGUUGAAGCAACAAAUUGGCGGUGAAGUGGAGACUAAUCUGAUUCUUCCUCACGAAGAACGAAAUAUACCACAAGGCAAAGAAUCUGUUAAAGAAAAGACAAUUCUCUCCCAAGAACAGAGUAUUCAGAAGCUUAACAAGCUGAUCCGAAGUCUUAGGGCACGAUUGCUACAGUGCAGAAGUGGAAAUCAUUCUGUGUUACCAGAACAUGCAGACGAGCUUGAUCAGCUGCCUUUCCGGGGUGACUGAACCAUUUCCAGGAGCAAUCUUUGAUGGUUGGAAAGACACCAACUCCCAACUCUUAGCUUCCAUUAUUUGAAGGUCUAAUCCUUGCCCAACACUAUUGACUCUUCAUGUGCAGAGAGAAUGAUGUUAAGUCUGGAAUCGAGAUUCUACUGUCUGAUCGGCCUUAAGGCCGAGAGUUUCGAUUUGGAGAAAGUGUUGGCUACAUCAAACCAUAAAUUAUCGGUCUCGCCCCACUUUGCUGAUGAACCCUUUCUCUCUCUCUCUCUCGAGAUCCCGAAAGCGAGUGACUUUGUACUGGACAGGAGGAAUCAAAAGAGAAGGUGGUCCUCGUCAAGUACAGCAAAACAUUGGGAUAUGAAGGAAAUGAAUGUUGAGUGUGUGAUAAUAUGUGGUUGGGGACUUUAAAUGUUAAGGGGGAGAAGAGAUUGUACUGCUUUGGAGUCCAAGUGACUAUGUCCUGUUUGUGGUUUUCCUUUCCAACAUAACAUAAAAGACAUUUACGGUCGUGAGGCAGAAAUUGGUCACAAAUGCACUCUUCUUCAUUCCCAACA